UACCAGCACCCCGAGUGGUCGGGACGUUUAUUGGGCCUAAAGCAUCCGUAGCCGGUUUUACAAGUCUUCCGUUAAAUCCACCUGCUUAACAGGUGGGCUGCGGAAGAUACUAUGGAGCUAGGAGGCGGGAGAGGCAAGCGGUACUCGAUGGGUAGGGGUAAAAUCCGUUGAUCCAUUGAAGACCACCAGUGGCGAAGGCGGCUUGCCAGAACGCGCUCGACGGUGAGGGAUGAAAGCUGGGGGAGCAAACCGG
rnacentral:rRNA from 1 species